UUUUUUUUUUUUUUUUUUUUUUUUAGUCAACAGCUCUCUGAUGGUCCAUGAAGUUCUCUGCACUUGGAACAUUAUGAUUGUCCUAGAGGUCCUUCAACAAAUAACAAGUAAGAGGCUGCAGUUUCUGCAACGAGAGAUGAUGGGGCUGAAAUGUCAGCAGGACAGACCAGGAUGGAAGAUCAAUCACGGAGCGGUAGGCUUUCCCCCUCUGUCUUCAGCCCUGCCAGAUAGGCCUUGGCUUGCCCUGGAGUUCCCUGGCUGUGGGCUUCUCCCUUCUCCUCCUGGCCCAGCGGAACUGCCAGGACUGCUGAGAGACAAGCUUGAGCAGGACAGACAGGCAAGGCAGAUGCAGGGGGCAGGCGCUGCAGCAGUGGUGCCAGGGGCGCUCAUGUAUGUCACACUUAGAUUUACAAGUAUAAUGAGGCUUCAUCUGUUGAUUGCCAGCCCACCAUCCAUCAACACUGUUCCACCAGAGGCAGAGCCCAGGUCCUGUUGGGCCUCUGGAACACUGCUUUUUUCUCUUCUCCUGCCUUGUGGGGCUGGUAAACAAAGGGGAUGGGGCUACAGAUGGAAGUUGUUUGCUGCAUGUGUGUGUCUGGGGGCAGGCAAGGCUGUGGCUGGAGUCCCUGCCAGGAAACACACCAGCUGGUGA
rnacentral:lncRNA from 1 species